CCUACGGGAGGCAGCAGUGAGGAAUAUUGGUCAAUGGACGCAAGUCUGAACCAGCCAUGCCGCGUGCAGGAUGACGGCUCUAUGAGUUGUAAACUGCUUUUGUACGAGGGUAAACCCCGAUACGUGUAUCGGGUUGAAAGUAUCGUACGAAUAAGGAUCGGCUAACUCCGUGCCAGCAGCCGCGGUAAUACGGAGGAUCCGAGCGUUAUCCGGAUUUAUUGGGUUUAAAGGGUGCGUAGGCGGUUUGAUAAGUUAGAGGUGAAAUGUCGGGGCUCAACCCCGAAACUGCCUCUAAUACUGUUGGACUAGAGAAUAGUUGCGGUAGGCGGAAUGUAUGGUGUAGCGGUGAAAGGCGUAGAGAUCAUACAGAACACCGAUUGCGAAGGCAGCUUACCAAACUAUAUCUGACGUUGAGGCACGAAAGCGUGGGUAGCAAACAGGAUUAGAUACCCCUGUAGUC
rnacentral:rRNA from 1 species